GACGAACGCUGGCGGCGCGCUUAACACAUGCAAGUCGAGCGAGAACCCAGGCUUCGGCCUGGGGGGAAAGCGGCGAACGGGUGAGUAACACGUGAGUAAUCUGCCCUCGACAUCGGGAUAGCCCGGGGAAACCCGGAUUAAUACCGAAUGGCCCAUCAGCUUCUCGAAGCGGAUGGAAAAGGUAGCUUCGGCCUCCGGUCGAGGAGGAGCUCGCGGCGGAUUAGCUUGUUGGUGAGGUAACGGCUCACCAAGGCUCCGAUCCGUAGCUGGUCUGAGAGGACUAUCAGCCACACUGGGACUGAGACACGGCCCAGACUCCUACGGGUGGCUG
rnacentral:rRNA from 1 species